rfam:Triticum aestivum genome assembly, contig: Triticum_aestivum_CS42_TGACv1_scaffold_503850_6BL
AAACUACCCCCUCCGUCCUAAAAUUCUUGUCUUAGAUUAGUCUAGAUACGGAUGUAUCUAAUAUUAAAAUAUGACUUGAUACAUCCGUAUUUAGACAAAUCUAAGACAAGAAUUUUGGGACAGAGGGAGUACAUG